rnacentral:rRNA from 1 species
GACGAACGCUGGCGGCGUGCUUAACACAUGCCAGUCGAACGGUGAAGCGAGUGCUUGCACUCGUGGAUCAGUGGCGAACGGGUGAGUAACACGUGAGUAACCUGCCCAUCACUCUGGGAUAAGCACUGGAAACGGUGUCUAAUACUGGAUACGACCAACCCUUGCAUGGGGUGUUGGUGGAAAGAUUUAUCGGUGAUGGAUGGACUCGCGGCCUAUCAGCUUGUUGGCGGGGUAAUGGCCCACCAAGGCGACGACGGGUAGCCGGCCUGAGAGGGUGACCGGCCACACUGGGACUGAGACACGGCCCAGACUCCUACGGGAGGCAGCAGUGGGGAAUAUUGCACAAUGGGCGAAAGCCUGAUGCGGCGACGCCGCGUGAGGGAUGACGGCCUUCGGGUUGUAAACCUCUUUCAGCAGGGAAGAAGCGAAAGUGACGGUACCUGCAGAAGAAGCACCGGCUAACUACGUG